rnacentral:rRNA from 1 species
UACGUAGGGUGCAAGCGUUAUCCGGAAUUAUUGGGCGUAAAGAGCUCGUAGGCGGUUUGUCGCGUCUGCUGUGAAAACCGGAGGCUCAACCUCCGGCCUGCAGUGGGUACGGGCAAACUAGAGUGCGGUAGGGGAGAUUGGAAUUCCUGGUGUAGCGGUGGAAUGCGCAGAUAUCAGGAGGAACACCGAUGGCGAAGGCAGAUCUCUGGGCCGUAACUGACGCUGAGGAGCGAAAGCGUGGGGAGCGAUCCGG